rnacentral:rRNA from 1 species
UACGAAGGGGGCUAGCGUUGCUCGGAAUUACUGGGCGUAAAGAGUACGUAGGCGGUAAUGUAAGUCUGAUAUUAAAGACCAAAGCUUAACUUCGGGACUGUAUUGGAAACUGCAUUACUAGAGGACAAUAGAGGAAGUUGGAAUUCUCAGUGUAGCGGUGAAAUGCGUAGAUAUUGGGAAGAACACCAGUGGCGAAAGCGAACUUCUGGGUUGUUACUGACGCUGAGGUACGAAAGCGUGGGGAGCAAACGGG